rnacentral:rRNA from 1 species
AAUAUUGGACAAUGGGGGCAACCCUGAUCCAGCAAUGCCGCGUGAGUGACGAAGGCCUUAGGGUUGUAAAGCUCUUUCGGCUGUGAAGAUAAUGACAGUAACAGCAUAAGAAGCCCCGGCUAAAUUCGUGCCAGCAGCCGCGGUAAUACGAAUGGGGCGAGCGUUGUUCGGAAUCACUGGGCGUAAAGCGUACGUAGGCGGACUAGCAAGUCAGGAGUGAAAUCCCGGGGCUUGACCCCGGAAUUGCUUUUGAAACUGCUAGUCUAGAGGCUCGGAGAGGUCAGCGGAAUUCCCAGUGUAGAGGUGAAAUUCGCAGAUAUUGGGAGGAACACCAGUUGCGUAGGCGGCUGGCUGGACGAGUACUGACGCUGAGGUACGAAAGCGUGGGGAUCAAAC